UACGUAGGGGGCUAGCGUUGUCCGGAAUCAUUGGGCGUAAAGCGCGUGUAGGCGGCCCGGUAAGUCCGCUGUGAAAGUCGGGGGCUCAACCCUCGGAUGCCGGUGGAUACUGUCGGGCUCGAGUACGGAAGAGGCGAGUGGAAUUCCUGGUGUAGCGGUGAAAUGCGCAGAUAUCAGGAGGAACACCAAUUGCGAAGGCAGCUCGCUGGGACGGUACUGACGCUGAGACGCGAAAGCGUGGGGAGCGAACAGG
rnacentral:rRNA from 1 species